GGCAGCGAAAGUGAGAGAGAAACACGCUAAUCUACUUAACUAUAAAAUUAUAUUACCAUACGAUUAUUACGUUAGAUAUACAUUAUAUAUAUUGUAUUUAUGUCUCAAUAAUCGUUGUUAGUUAUAUCGCUACGAUGAUGACGAUGAUAAUGAGUGUUUGUUAUCGGUGAUUGAUAGGGGAAGAGGGAACACUGUAUCAGACACAUACACGUACACACGUACAUAAAACACACGUUUACGCGAUAAUGGGGCACUACUAUGAUGCCCAUUUUCGAUGAUAAGAAAGAAUCGCUUUCGAACUGAUUCCGAACGCUUUGAGGGGUUCUCGCGAUGAGUGCGCGAACCCUUCCGCAACACAAUUCCGAAACGAUAUUCGCAUUCUUAAUUUUUACUCAACGCGCGAAAUUCGAAUACAUCCGACAGAUUUGCGAUCUUGCAUUGUAAACAGAAAUUUGUAACUUGUAACUUUUACGAUCUGUAUAAAUUUUUAAUAAAUUCCCGCGUUUCGUACAAAGCGUUUUGAAAUCGGUCCGAAGGUGACACGGUGAAAGUUUCGCCGACGCAUCCCGCGGCUUUUAGAUGAUCUCACCGACGGACGAACAAUAUUACCUUUAUUAGGACGUUUACAUUUAAUCGUUAGCCACAUUAUUACGCGUAAGAAUUAGUCCAUUCGUACAUUCUCUUCAUUCGUACGUUUUAACCGACGACGAAGAGGAAAAAGGGGUUUGUUCCCACGAAGGUAUCGAGGGGUAUGGUUUAUCGAUUCGUCCUCUGAAUCAGUAUGAAAUUCUCUCGACAUUUCCUCUUCUUCGACUCUUCGAUGUCUUCUAUCCUGUAUAUUCUUCGUGUUAUAUUCGACAGACUGUCAACAGCCCUUAGUAGCCUUAAGAAUGCAAAUAUUACUACAAAGCGUUUCUGAUUCAAUGAGUCACGUCGAUCCCUGAACACCUUCGGAUCGAAAGGAUCCAUCAACUGGAUUGAUCAUCUAUUCAACUAGAAGUUAGAACUAAAAGAAACCACAGUUCUGAGGGAACAUGAAUAAUCGAUCGAUUAACGAGUUUCCGACUAGGAGAUCUGUUUCAUCGUCUUAACGACAAUUUUCUUCGAGAGAUCUAACCGGUGAAUAAAUACAUGAAAAACAUCAUAGUUGAAUCGAAAAAUGUUCGCAUAUUCUUCACCGGGAACAAUCUCGCGAGAUGAAAUACGUCACUGUCAGUUUUAAACAACGCACAAUGCUGUCUCCAUUGGACAGCUUGUCGAUCGUUUUGAAGAUACGCUGAUUGGUCGAUGCAAUGUCGAUUCAGCGUCGACUCGACGUCGAUCGAAAAGAUCGUUGUCUCUUGUUACCGUCUUCGUGUUCUCUCGUCAUCGAUGAUCGUUGUAAUUCGCAUUCAUUAUCACCGGAAAGGUGCAUCAUCGUCAUGUUCAUCUGACGUAUCCGAGGCGCCCGAUAGUCGCACUCGUCGAUCGUCAAAUCGGUUUGUUCAGUCGUCGAUUGCGUGUCGAUUGCGCGACUACAUCGAAUCAACAACUUCCUGUUCCGUUUUUCACGUCUCACUGUCGUGUUGCAUCCCGUGCAGAGGGUGUAAGAUGGAACGAUCUAGGGAGCUUCGACUGUGAGAGAUUAAAAAUUCUUUGAAAGCAAAAGAAAAAAAUACUGACAGAAUGGAAGGUGAAAUUCCCUUGUGGGAUACUUGAAUUUCUCAUUAGAGAGAGCUAGUUUCUUAUAAGAGAAGGGAAUUUCGAUCGAUAGAGUCGAACAUGCCACGAAUAAGUGGUUCUUAAUCGAGCACGAGAGAUCGAGGUGGAUUUUGUUGGUCGUUUAAACACGCACGUGGUUCCAGUCAGUCGUCAAACAAUUCCGUUGCUGCGUUGCUCCUCUUCGAACAAAAUGAUAAAAGAAAGAUCGUCGGUGUACGGGGCGCGCGAUCAAGCAGCAAAAAGCUACCUAAGAACAAAACCUAAGAGCAAAAUAAAAAAAAAUCUAAGAAAUCUAAAAAAAAAAAGAAUAAUAAUAAAGGGUAAAUAAUCCUCUUCCAAUUUGUACCGAAGCGACUAAAUACCGCAGAGACUGAGAUUUUAGGCGAAGUUAAUUAGCUCCGAAUGAUCGUGGCUGCGAUCGAUGAUACUCUCCUGAAACUUCCAGGGAAACUAGAGACCCCCGAAAAAAAAGAGAGAAGAAAAGAAAAAGAAAAGAAAUAUACACACAGAAAUGAUAACAAAUGCAAACACAUUUUUCUCGUGGACUUAGGAGAAGAACAAGAGCGUUAGAACUAGCUGUUUAGAGAUUAUAUCGAUUGAAUCCCCUGCGAUUAGGAUAAUCGAUCGAGCCUGCGUGUGAUCACGGAGCUCUCGGUUUCGUCGACUGGAGUUUCGAAAACUCAGCGACGGACGACGAUCGUUCUCCGGCCGGCUGAUGAGAGAGAAAUCUUCGUGGAGCGAACGUGAAAUGCGAAUUAAACCCGGAGAACGGUGCUCUGUGACCAGCGAGGCUCGACGAGGCCGGAACGAGAGUAGGCUCCCGACUUUUUGAAACGUUUUUUUCUUUUCUAGGAAAAGCAACAAGUGACAAUUCGCGAGUUUUCGAAACGAACUUUUUUCUGGCGGACUGACGUGACGCUGGGGUGGCGGAAGGGGCGAACGAAAUAUCGAGGAAACACUCGCGGAUAGAGUAGCCAAGUAAACGGACAAGCAUCGCGCGUUUUACUUGGGCAAGAGCAGCAAGGGGUGGAAAGAACGACAGAUCCUUUUUUCUCUUUUUUUUCUUCUUUUUCCUUCUCGGUCCCCCUCCCGUCGCUCGACGAAGCGACUCUUUCCUCGUUUUAACCACCGUGCCGGGCUUUCGAGCUUCGAUCGUCUCGUCAGCCUCGCGGCUUACUCGCCAAGCGUCCGGUACACCUGCUUUUCGAAUCACGAAACCAUUAUCGUGCCGCCGAUUCACUUUGUGCUUUUCUGUUGUGUCCUCGUUAUCGACGCUCGACUCAUGGAGCGACGCGCGUUUCACAAGGCUAUUACUUCUUUUUCAUCUCUUUGUCGACGAUCUCACCACCUCCUCUCCCGGCUUGUCCCUGUUUCCUUCAGCCCCGUUCGUUCCGCUCCGAUUGUUUCCGCGAGUUCUCAGGCCGUGGCGUUUUCCUUUGAUCGCGAAAGGCGGUGUACUCGACCCUGGAGCGAGCACGAAACCAAAGAAACAAAAAAAAGAUAUAUAUAUAUAUAUAUAUAUAUAUAUAGAUAGAGAGUGUGAGAGAAUGAACGAGUGAGUGAGAGAGAGAGAGAGAGGAACGUAAGAAUGAGAGAGCAUAUGCGUGAGAGAAGAUGGAAAGGGGAGUGAUAGGGAGGAAGGAGCGUAUAUAUAUCAAGGGGCACCGUAAUAUAUCGGGGGAAGAUGAAAUUAUUUUUACGCGUUCGCGAGCACGCAGUCCGAUCGAUGUGCUGCCGGGACAUCGAAAGUCGGCGCGGGAUAUGGGGGAAAACGCAGAGCGAAAAGAGGAGAGAGAAAUUGUCGCGACAGCAGAAAGCAGCUCUAGCUCACAGUAGGCCUAACUAACGAAACAAAACAAACAAACAAAGAAAAAAAAAUAAGAUGAAAGGUAUUUAUAUACUUAAGCUAACUAAUUAAAAAAAAAAUAUUAAAAAAUGGUGGAGAAAGGGAGAGGGUGAGAUCGGCGGGAGAAAGGGAGAGAGAGAGAGAGAGAGAGAGAGAGAGAAAGUGAGUGUGAAUGAUAUAGACACACGAGAUACGGUAAUGAUAAUUUCGGUGAUUACAUUGUGAAGAACGACAUUGAUAUAAGUGACAGGCGUUGAUUGAGUAGAUGAUUACGGUUGUGAUCGUAAGCAGUGAUGAACAAGGCAACAACGGUAGGCACAACAUGUUCCCAAAAAGAAGAAAAAGAAACGAUUUAGAAUAUAACGAGAGAGAGCGAGAGAGAGAGAGAGAGAGAGAGAGAGAGAGAGAGAGAGAGAGAGAGUGAGAGGAAAAAAGAGAUGGAGAGAAUGAGAUGAAGGCACUUCGUUGCAAUCGUGAUAACGCUCGUCGAUCAAUGUUAAGAUCAAGAUUUGGCUAAUUGUGAUGAUAAUCUCUCUCUCGCGCGAUCGCGCGCGCGCGCGAACGGAGUUGUUUAUUUUGAGAUUAAAGAGGAAGUUAGUGAGAUAAAAACCAAGGGUGCUCUGAAAUGUUCCAUAUUGAACGCGAAUUUAACCAUAAUUCGUCGAUGGCGAUUAAGGAACGAUUAGUUGACUCCCAGAAAGUAAAUUUUGAGAGCUACAUAUAAUUAAACACUUCGCAGACAAACGAGUCUUGAAUAUUAAAUGUAUGACUGUAAAAAUACAAGAUUUGUAUCAUCUUGGGAAAUGUAGAAGAUAGUCGUCGAAGUGUUACGUGUCAUAUCCGCCCAAAAAACCCGUCAAUCCGAUCAGAAAGUAAUAUCGUCGUACAUGUUGAAAAAUUUGAGAAAUAAGUACUUUAAGAUACUUUCUGAACUCGUCGUUUCUUCGAUCGACGAAUUAAAUGGAAUAAUCGAUCAAAACGAGCGAUCAUGGUUGCCGGAGACCGCCUGUUUAGUUAAGGAACAGAAAGUGAAGAUGAUAGCAAUGAUGAUGAUGAUGAUGAUGAUGAUGAUGAUGAUGAUGAUGAU